AGAGGCUCCUGUGCUUAUCAAGGUAAGCCAUCCAUCCCACUUCCCACAGACUGUGAAAGAUCAUAUUAGUGGCCGUCUGCUGCCUCUCAUUUCACACGGCAACCUGUGCCGCGAUUGGAUUUUUUUGUGCCAUUUAGAGUGAGGAAGUGGUCAGGCAGCGAGACAGUAAGGAAGGGGAAGUGUGUCACGGCGCGCCUGGUGCUGUUUUGGAUAUGUGAUCUGACAGGCGGAAAGGCGAAAAAAAAACACGCUUGUGUUUUGGACACGCGUGUGUUUUUUGGACGCGACGGCCUGUGCACUUAACUCAUGGGCAUAUUACCAUCCUCCUGCCGGUGUCAAGGUGCGUGUCGCCCACAGCUACGGCACAGCUGGCAGGGGGCUGUGAUGGGAGCUGGCUGACAGGCGGUGGGUGACCGGGGCGGACGGGCGAGAAAGAACUGCAGAAAGCAAGUCAUAUCAGCGUUUAGAUACAAGCAAAGGUCCCGUCUGACUCCUCCGAGCGGCAUUUACUGACACUUUAGAGCAAGUGCUACAUCAAGCAAAAAUAAGUCGAGCGAAAGUCGGCAACCGCAUUAUUUUGACAAGUAGUCGUCCCGAAAUAAAGGUUGUGGUUUGCAUGUGUGCUGAUGUGCUCGUAAUCCUGUUUCAUGCUCUCCUGGAGAGGAGUCGCACCAUCAUCCCCAGGCAUGACAAUCCCACCUACAGGAGUGUAUCAGCAGCCUCCGCAGAACACCAGUAUGACUGAUGUGUUUACGCAUUCUCUUAUCAUAUUUACCCCCUCAGUAUCCUCGCUGCAGACGACUCAACAUUUACAGGGGCCUGACUCGAAAGCCGUCAAGAACAGUGGUGCAUUAUUUGAGAACGCGGGGGCAGCUCUGCUUCCUCUGCCGCAUUUUUCUUCAUAUAGCAGCAUAUUGACUAUAAAAACCUCCAUCCAGGAGUAUGAGGAAAUAACAGUAAUCCGGUUUGAGGGGAUGCAUGGUGGAGUCAACUUACUUCUCCCGCUGUGGGGGCCCCUGAAUGCCCCAAGAGGAGGCAAGGGAGGGAGAAUUCGAUCGCACCUACGCGCAUCCCAUCGUGGCCGGAAGUCGAGAUAUAAAUGGCGGUCCGGUAGUCAUCCCUUACCUCGUGAUAACUGUGACGUUCACUCCCACUUGAAAUUCCCCCAAAAAAUGUACAGCAGGGAGAGGUCAGCCCUCAGAGAGACAAAAUGAUUUAGGAGACGUCGGCAUCAGUCGAGGUGAUGCUCUCUGUUAUAAUGUAUGCUGAGAGAAGAAGAAGGAGAAGGUAGGAUGAAAUAAAGAAGUGGGGGAUGGGGGAGGCUGUCUAUUGAUACUGCUGCAAAUUUUCCCCCGGCCAGCUCUGACAAAAAUGGAUGAUUUUUAUUAAGAGCCUUGGCUUUGUAUCUUCCAUCUCAUAUAUCUCUCUGAACAGAGGAAGGCCAUCUUUGUACUGGUCACAGAGAGCUAGUGUCUGAGCUUGGGGCCUCUGAGUGGGUAUUUCAUUUGGGCAGUGAUUGUUACUUUCAUUGAGGUUACUUUCCAUUAUUUCCAGCCAUGGACAUUCAAUGAGACCUGGAUACAGUGUUGGAGACUGAGUUCUGUCAACUCCUAAAAUACCCAGAUCUUCAGUGUUGUGUGUGAUAGUUCAACAAGUACAAAAAAAAAGUGUAUCCACUGUUUCACAGACGCUUCUUUCACAGUGUAAUGUACACAAAUCAAGAUAGCAACUGCUGCCGCUUCCAUCUGGCACUGUGGUCACUCCAAUUUAAGUGAUAUUAUAAGAUAUUUUUAUUGCCUACCCACACAAAUCGCAUACUGAUCAAAUUGAAGUACUGACAUAGAGGGCAACAGAGAUGACACAUUUAUGAAAGCUAAUCCAGAAGUUGGCAUCACCGGGUUCCAUCGACAAAAAUAGAUAUUGGAUUUUUUUUUGUUGUUUUUUUGAAUAAUGAAUUUGUAGUCUGUUGAAGUUAUUUCACUUGCAGGCUUUGCCGGUGUUUACGAGAGGAGGUCGACACUGUUCUCGCGCGACACGUGUCCGAGGAUGUCGGGCAAAAGGAAGGUGGAAGACAUUAGAGGCUCUUUCACCGAACAAAGUGCGACAGAAGAAGCAACACAGCCGUCCCCUUUAUCAGGCAGUGGUGGAGUGGCAGGGUCACAGCAGAAGGUGACAGAAGAACCCUGGCGAGGCUGUAGCUCAUAUAGGGAAGAUUCAGGGCUACAGCAGCAUGUGGUGGUGGUGGGGGGCUACGUCCCCAUCAGUGUCAAAAUCAAACCUACACCCUUGAAUCUUCAAAAAAACUAAGAAUUGUUUGCAACUACACCGACGACCUCUGACCCCCCACCUGCCACCCUUCCAACCUCCCCGGCAAGUCUGUCUGCUCGGCACUCCUCCACAUCCCCGUGACAGCCCCCCAUAAACCACCGCCGAACAAGAUAGCCCACCGCUCUGCUCACGGAAAAGCCUGUGGGAUUUCCAUCAGAAUCCAACGUACAUGGGGACAAGGCGGGCCCUCGUGUUGAUCAAUAAUACGCUCUCUCGGCCAUCACGCGAUCUGUCACCUCCGUUGCUGAGAAAACAACAGAAUAAAUAGCAGAGGCUGGAUCUGUUGCUUCCGGUGAUGGAUAACAGGUGAUAACAUCGCCUUGGCAACUGUUCUGGGGCUCUCACACACCAUAAGGGUCUGCAGCACUAGCUAUAUUCACUCUAAGCCUGACUGUCUAUUCCCCUUAUUGGCAGACUGUCACUGCAAACAUCCUCCUAUAGCUCAAACUGACGGCAGAGUGAAUGAAAGGCUUUAUUUCUCGUCCCUACAACCCAUUCAAGUUUGUGCACAAACAUGAUAAGAGCGGCGUGCAGCGCUGUCACGGCCAAACUAGGAGAUCAUCUGCAAAUGGAGAAAAAGUAAAUUAAUAUCUGGAGCUGCGACCGGAUGAAUGUAAUAAGUCCUUUUCCAGCGUUCAGGCUGUUUUUUUUUUUUGUGCAGCUGCUCUCAGCAUGAAUCAUUGUGUCCCUCUGUCCACCAUCUGCCAAACAGGUGACACCUGCGCACACACGGAUAAAAAAAAUUUCAUGUGCUUUUAAAGCACAGUAGGUCUUGACAUUGGAAAAAAAAAUAUUGUAUUUAAAAGGCUGGAAUAAUUGACUGCAUGUCAUUAUAUUUCAGUUUCAACAUUCUGAGGCAUUUAUCCAUGUUCAUGGCAGAGGGAGUGUAUUCAAGGCAAAGGCACACAUCUAAGAAUAAUUUUCCUUUCCAGUCACCUGUGAUGUCCUGCCUCCCUCUGUCUGUCCUUUCGCGUUUUUGUUUUUGUUUUUAUUUUUCCUUAUUGAGUGCAAACAACUGCCGCUAACAGUGCAAUUACAAAGACGGCACACCAGGAAGACAAAAUGUCAAACAGCCUUACAUCUCGGGCAAAUCAAAACGGACGAGCCAAAGCAGAACAUUUAGCCUCCCGUGGCUCAGCCUGCCUCCGAGAAAUCAGUCACGGCCAACUACAGUAAUGCUUGAGGGACUGCCCGCUGUCAGCCCGAGAUGAGCACUUGGAGUUUUCGACCACAGGUUCCGCGUGUUCGGACUCGCUGUACCUAAAAUGAGCUUUUAGCUUCCCGCCUGUCGGGCAGAAAAGAGUCGACCAGAACGCCCUGUUUGGAGCUGACAAAAACGACCCACUGAGCAGGGGAGGAGAGGGUCGGAAUAGAAAGCUGGACGGUAAUGAGCGGUACAGAUGAGUCCUUCAGGUACUGGUAAAAACAUAGCAGUCGUCUUUUUUUUUUUUUUUCAUUGCUCUGACCAUUACUUCCACUGAAGAAAAACAUCCCCUCAAAAUCUGUUUAAUAUUUCAUGAUCAGUAUUCGUUUAAAAAUGACUUUGAAUUGAUUCAUAUCAGCAUGUUCUGAUCUGACACCUAUAUGGUUAUAGUUGGGGUAGUUAUUCUUUAUAUUAACAAUAAUCAAAUUGUAAAUGUAUAAUUAAUCAAACUUUAGUAAUUGGUAUUUGUGUGUUGACACCGGAAUGCUCUAUAAACCAUUUAUUCAGCAAAUGUAAAGGUGUAUAAAUACAAUGUUACAGUGCCAGGGCUAGCAGUUUAGCAUGCUAAUGUCUAUACACAUCUCUGAAAUACAAUAUUGUACAUAAACCGAUAAUGGAAAAAAAAACCUUUAUGUCUUCUCACUCUAUUGCACCCAUUAAAGGCUAUGGAAAGAUUGUGGUCAUGGUUAAUCAAGAGCAAGACUCUACCGAUAUGCUAGCUUUGAGCUAAAUGCUAAUGUUAGUGCACUAAUGUGUUCACAAUGACACCCUCAGCUAACAUUUGAUACGUAACACAGUAAGUUUUCUGUUUGUACCUAAACAAAAUUUUAGAACAUUAUGCAAACUUUGACCUGGUGGUGGCACUUAUGAAAAGUGAAGGGUUUGUUAACUCUAACCGUAACUAUUAACUAAAGUUUAAUAAACUAUAAAAUGAUGAGUUUAGACAGCUCAAAACUUGACGUGAGGGAAAGAUUGUCGUCAUAGUUAAACAAGAGUGAGCGCUCACAGCCAUGCUAGCUUUGAGCUAAAUGCUAAUGUCAGUAUACUAACUUGCUCACAAUGUCAGUGCUAGCAUGCUGAUGUUUAGCAAGUACAACUUUCAACCUGUUCACCAUCUCUACCCAGGCAUGUUAGCAAAUAUUUUCUGUUUAGUAGUAACCACAGGAAUCACAUUAGUUUUGUACGUUUAUGGUGAUAAACCAAAGUAUAGAACAUGCCACUAGACAGAAAAUGAGAGGAUUACCUAAGUUUCGACAAUUCAUAUCCAUAUAGCCAAUCGAUAUGAUGUCUGAGCUAGGUUCUUGCCAAUAGCUGUUGAGAUAUUUCUCUGAAAAUCAAGGAUGUCGUGGCAGAGCGAGAGCAACUGCCAGGGGAUGGACAAAGUAUCCUCACUAAGAUAUGAUUUCUCUGGGCACCAUGAAUGUCUGACCCAGUAGUUAUUGAGAUAUCUCAUUAAAAUUUAAAGCCAUCAGCCUCUUUACUUUGUGAUAUGAGAGGAGAAGUCGGGGGAGGAGGGGGGAUCGCCAGAGUUGACUAUGAAUACCCAUACAACAUUUUCUGGCAAGCUGUCCCAUAGUUGUUGAGGUAUUAACGCUUUAACACCACUGUGUUUGCCUUUGCUUUUGAAAGGUGUUAUUAUACUCAGGAGUUGGCUUGCUAGUACAAAAGUUCUCUGAAUUUUGUUUAAUCUAUCGUUGCAAAUGGAAUCUGAAGUCCUGUAUUCCCCUCUGGGACGGUGUUGCUCCUAGCGUGCCUUUUAUUGUGUUUCUCCACAACAUCUGGCCUGUCAGCACAGGUGCGAUGUAACACGGCGGAGAUGGGCUCCUAUAGCGCUGCUGUCACGUACCCACAACUCCUAGAGACAUCAAGAACUACUGAGAACCAUGUUGAUACGGGUGAUACUUCAGCAAAUUCAAGCCUUUUCACCGUGCAUUAAAUCUGAUCAAAUCUAUCAAAUUAAAUCUUGAGUGCAAAUAAGUUGAAAGAUGAUUGUGGAGCACAAGGACGUGCGUGACGUUGAUUAGCAGAGGCGUGAGAGGCACAGCUGCUGGGAAAACAAUGAAACAAGGGCGCAGACGGCCCGCGGUACACGUGUGUCAACGUGCAACAAGUGAAUUGGUUAACUAGGUCAAUGCAUAACCUUACAUACACGUUAUAAAAGUACGUAGGCUUCUUGGGACACACUUUUACUUUUAAGAAGUGGUUGUACCGCAGGAGAGGAAGUUCAUCAAAAUGUGUGUCAGAUAGCGAGGCCGGAGUGAGGGUGACGCUUCCGCUAGUCCAAAGUCUGAAGCAGAAACAUCAAUUUAUGCCAUAUUUUAAAAAUUAAUGUAUUAUGUAUUUUUAAGACUAUUUCGGUGCAUUCAAUGGCAUAUCAAUUUAUUUAUUAAACCUUUUAUUUAUUUAUGUAUCUAUUUUUCAUUUAUAAUCUUGGCGCUUUUUUUCCCUCCAUAGUUGUUGGAGUAUUUAUGCUGAUAAGACAACUGAAGGACAUAGAAACGUUGCUAAUACAUCAAGGUUUUCGAAUAUCAAAUAACUGAACAUGUAACGACAUAAAUGAUUUCCUUGAAUUGCAAAAUUAAUGUAUUUCAUCACUAAAAACUCUGUACCACAUUACUCUCAACACUGGGUAUCACUAGUCAACUUGUCAAUACUCCACAUCAGUAACACUUUAUAAUGUCCACCAUUAAUAAACAGUAAAUAUGUGCUUCAUGACACUUUAACUGUUAAGAAACACGGAAAUGCUUUAUAAACAUGUAUUAAGCAACUUAUUGUAAAGUUGCAACAGAUGUUUGUAACCCUUAUGAUUAAUGAUCAUGAUGAUGGUUUGCUAUGGACCGUCUGUGAAUCUGAAAUAAAGUUUGAAUUGA